rnacentral:lncRNA from 1 species
UAAAGUAUAAUAAUAAUAAAAAAAAGAAUAAAGCUGAAAAAACACACCUUUCAGACAAACAAAACAUUACUAGAUAAAGAUUUAAAAACCUAAUAGCAUUUACAACAUAAAACGUCCAAUAAUAAAUCUAACGAGAUACACACCAUCUCUACCCCCCCAAAAAACCCACAAAAAUCUGUUUAGAAAAAUAAAAGAAGACAUAAAUAAAUGGGAGGAUAAGCCAUGUUCAAGAACUAGAAGACUCAACAUAGUAAUAAUGUCAUUUCUCUGCCAAUGGAUCAAUUGUUUCUAUGAAAUCCCAAUAGAAAUCCUAGCAGGUUCCUUUGUAGAUGCUAAUAAUCUGAUUAUAUGGAAAUGCAAGGACCACAAAUAGCCAUUGUUGUUGAAAAGAACAAAGUUGCAAGACAGACUACUCAUUUAAGACUUAUGUAGCUACAGUGAUUAGGACAGGGUGAUAUCUAUACAAGAAUAGAGUACAACACCUGUGGAACAGACAUGAGAUUCCCAAACAGACCUGCAUGUUUAUGAAAUGUUUGAUUAAUGACAAACCUGGGUAAUAAUUCAUGUUAGGUUCCAUGCCAAUUGGAUAUCUAUUUGGGAAAAAUUUAUUUUGAACCUUAACUCAUAACCUGUAUAUAUAACAAAUCAACAAAAUUUGCAGGAAAUAAAAAAGGAGAGUAUAUCAACUGGAGCGGGACUUACCGUAGACGCAAAGAAGCAUAAUUGGGACACAGCCUGAGGAGAACAUUGUUUGUUCCGGUGCUGAGCCCAGAGGCGAUUAGGGUCCCCGUUUUGGGCUGAAUUGUGUUUCCUUAGAUUCACACACAGAAGCCCUAUCCCCCAGUACCUCAGAAUGUGACAGUCUCUGGAGGUGGGGCCUCUUGAGAGAUAACUGGGUCAAAAUGAAGAUGUGGGAGGGGGCUCUACUCCAAUGUGACUGUUGCCCUUAUUAGAAGAGGACAUUUGGACACACACAGAGACACCAGAUGGAGGCACAGAGAAAAGAACAUGUGGGAACACAGGGAGAAGGUGACCAGCUGCAAGCCAAGGAGAGAGGCCUUGGGAGAAACCAACCCUGCUGACACCUCGAUCUUGGACUUGUAGCCUCUAGAACUCUGAGGAGGUUCAGCAGCCUGAACGGGGGCUUGGCUCUGGCUCUCCAGUCCUCAUCCAUGAUGCCCCAGAACUCAACCUUCCAUCUGAGAGCUGAACUCGCUCCUCCAAUGUUCUCUGAAUAAUGGAAGUGUCAGAGCAGAGGGAUUCAAGGAUCCUGGCCAAGGAUCAGCUGCCCUAUCUGCCUUCACAUGUUCCUGAGGACCCAGAGACUCCAGGCUGCCCCCUGACCACUGGAGAUGGCUGCAAAGGGGGCGUCCUCUGGAAGAUGGUCAGCAGCCUCUAGAGGAAGCAGACAUCCUGGACGCUGACCUCCAGGGCCUAAUGCUCUGCCCCCUCUCCUGACCUGCACCUCGAGGGGGAUGUGUAGAGGGUCUGCUCUGGGAGUCUUGGCUGUGGCCCCCACCUACCCAAGAAAGCCAAUGCCCACGA